rnacentral:rRNA from 1 species
GUCGACGGGAGAAUUGCUAGCUUGCUAAUAAUUCUCUAGUGGCGCACGGGUGAGUAACACGUGAGUAACCUGCCCCCAAGAGUGGGAUAGCCCCGGGAAACUGGGAUUAAUACCGCAUAAAAUCGCAAGAUUAAAGCAGCAAUGCGCUUGGGGAUGGGCUCGCGUCCUAUUAGUUAGUUGGUGAGGUAACGGCUCACCAAGGCGAUGACGGGUAGCCGGUCUGAGAGGAUGUCCGGCCACACUGGAACUGAGACACGGUCCAGACACCUACGGGUGGCAGCAGUCGAGAAUCAUUCACAAUGGGGGAAACCCUGAUGGUGCGACGCCGCGUGGGGGAAUGAAGGUCUUCGGAUUGUAAACCCCUGUCAUGUGGGAGCAAAUUAAAAAGAUAGUACCACAAGAGGAAGAGACGGCUAACUCUGCGCCAGCAGCCGCGGUAAUACAGAGGUCUCAAGCGUUGUUCGGAAUCACUGGGCGUAAAGCGUGCGUAGGCGGUUUCGUAAGUCGUGUGUGAAAGGCGGGGGCUCAACCCCCGGACUGCACAUGAUACUGCGAGACUAGAGUAAUGGAGGGGGAACCGGAAUUCUCGGUGUAGCAGUGAAAUGCGUAGAUAUCGAGAGGAACACUCGUGGCGAAGGCGGGUUCCUGGACAUUAACUGA